rnacentral:rRNA from 1 species
GUGGCAUUGCUGGGUUGUGUGGCGCACACAUGCCAAGCGAGCUACGGGUAUCCCAACCCAGCACCAGCGGUACUCACCGUGGGCUACUACCAGACGAAGUGCCAUAACGCGGAGAAGAUCGUGAGGGAGGUCGUCGAGGAGGCUGCAAAGGCCGACCCUGACAUCGGCGCCGCGCUGAUCCGCCUCUUCUUCCACGACUGUUUCGUCAGGGGUUGUGAUGCCUCGGUUCUCCUUGACAACACCACGGCCAACCCGCAGCCGGAGAAGUUCGGCAUCCCCAACUUCCCCAGCCUCCGUGGUUUCGAGGUGAUCGAUGCGGCCAAGGAGAAGCUUGAGAAGGAGUGCGAGGGCGUCGUCUCAUGCGCUGACAUCGUGGCCUUCGCCGGGCGCGACGCCACCGUCUUGCUAAGCGACAGGAAGUCCAACUUCGACAUGCCGGCCGGCCGCUACGACGGGAACGUGUCCCUCGCCAGCGAGACCCUCCCCAACCUGCCCCCUCCCUUCGCCAACGUCAGUGUCCUCGAGGAUAUGUUCAGGGUCAAGGGGCUCAGCCUCGAGGACAUGGUCACCCUCUCGGGCGCCCACACGGUCGGGAUCUCCCACUGCUCGUCCAUCCGUAACCGCCUCCCCCCAAACCCCUCAUCGAUGGAUCCUACUUUAGCCGCAUCCCUGCAGGGGCAGUGCAGCCGCGGCGGCGACCCCACUGUGGUUCAGGACCCCGAGACUCCCGAUGAUCUUGACAACCAAUACUAUGACAACGUGCAGAAACGCAAGGUGCUGUUCAAGUCAGACGCCGCGCUCAUGUCAUCUGAGACCACAUUGAGAUUGGUGGACAACCACGCCAAGGACCCGCAGGAGUGGUUGAAGCAAUUCCAGGCGGCUAUGGUGAAAAUGGGCAGCAUCGAGGUGAAGACCGAGGCCAACGGGCAGAUCGGAAAGAACUGCCGGUUAGGCAAAUAA